CUAAAACCUCAAAAAGUGGUAAAUUACUCAAAUUUUACCCAAAAUUUAUCUAAACCAAUACUAAUGCUCUCUCACACGACAACUAAUUUUCUACUCGAAAAAGGGUAAAAAAUAAAAGAUAAAAAAGAAAAAAAAAGAAAAAAACAUUUUAUUAAUUGCCAAAGUGGGAUAGGAUCAAUGGCCGGCAGUGCCAUCCUUCUUCAUGCCCCAGUCAUGUAAUCUCAGGUGCAACUCAGCAGCAGCAAUCAAGAAAUGGACGGCCUGGACUGGAGUAAAAACAUCGAGAAUCGCCUUUAGCGUUCUCAACCGUAGAUCAUCUGCUCUCAGCAAGAUCUUCUCCAAGCCCUCCUCCUUCAACGCCAGAACCGACUCGACUCGCUCCUUCUCAAUCCCACCACCCCUCCUGCCUUCCCCCUCGCUCCUUAUCAACUCCGUCACCACGUGUGACAACUCAACCAUUGCCGAGUCCGCUACCGUUUCCUGGUGCUUCGCCAUCUUCUCCGUGAUUUCUCUCUCCUCCCUAAUGGUCCUCCUCUGCAACUCGUCGACCUUGCUCAGUUGACUCGGCGAGAGAUCCCCCAAAUCGCCACGACUACUCAUCCCUUGAUCAAAACUGGCUAGUUUCUCCUCGGCUUGCUGUCCGGACUUGGAGUAGAGCAAAUGAAAAGCCAUGCUGGGUCGCCACCCUCCUAUCCACAUGAACGAGUUCUUGAGUGCGCUUGUCCAUGGGGCUUUCAGCACACCUAUCGCAUCGUGCUUGGCGCACCUUGACUUGGCCUGAUAGUAUUGCUCGUAAUGCUGAAUGACCCGGUCGAUGAGCGGGCGAAAGUGGUGCUUGUCUGUGAUCCGAACCUCAUCACGAUCAGCUCGAUCCUUUGAUUUUGCAGCCAUGUUACUGGCGUUAGCUUGUUCGUGGUGUUUGGAUGCAGAUAUGAGGUCCUGGAGAUUUUUGUCCUGCUCCACGAUCCAGUGCUCGAAAAACCUCUGGAAGCUCAGGAGCUCGGACUCAGAAGUACUACUGCCAUUACCAAUGGCCGAUGCUACGUUGUUGCCACCGUUAGAGAGCUGUAAGGACAUGAUGGGUGUGGCGGUCUUCAGGGAACUUGAUGCAACGUUUGGAAGAAAGGACAUGGUGGGUGAUGAGGCUUACAGGGAUAAAGAUCGAGCACCCUUUAAAACAAUGACGACAGUCAUCCCAAAAACAAUGGGCGGCCUUCAUUAAUGUCGGUUUACAGGUAUCCACUUUCGAUACUCAACCGAUCGACGCGAGUUUUCAGAUUUUCUAUGUCAAUGAACCCUAAAAACACAAGGUGCUCAUACGGGACACGUCGGCUAAGCAUGAGAAUAUAAAGCAGAAACACAAGGUACUGCCGAAAUGGUUUACUUCGGCGUCAUCAGUACUUGUCGUUUUCUCUGAAACUUUGAACUUAGGACCAGUAGAUGAUCAUAUAAAGAUAGGAGUCUGUACUGUACUCUUCUUUUAUCUUCACAAAUUUCUGUCAAACUCUCAACUCAAUGCCUACUGCUUUUGUCUUCC